rnacentral:rRNA from 1 species
GCUCUUUCGCAAGGGAAGAAAACUUAUGAUCGAAUAAAUCAUGAGGUUGACGGUACCUUGAUAAGAAGCACCGGCUAACUACGUGCCAGCAGCCGCGGUAAUACGUAGGGUGCGAGCGUUAAUCGGAAUUACUGGGCGUAAAGCGUGCGCAGGCGGUUUUGUAAGUCGGAUGUGAAAUCCCCGGGCUCAACCUGGGAACUGCGUUCGAAACUGCAAGGCUAGAGUGUGUCAGAGGGGGGUAGAAUUCCACGUGUAGCAGUGAAAUGCGUAGAGAUGUGGAGGAAUACCAAUGGCGAAGGCAGCCCCCUGGGAUAACACUGACGCUCAUGCACGAAAGCGUGGGGAGC